rnacentral:rRNA from 1 species
AAACUAACUAGGAUGCCUUCAGUAACGGCGAGCGAAGCAGGCAUAGCUCAAAUUUGUAAUCUGGCGCCUUUGGCGUCCGAGUUGUAUUUUCUAGAAGCGAGUUCGGCGACAGCUCCUACCCAAGUCCGUUGGAACGCGGCGUCAUGGAGGGUGAGAAUCCCGUGAAUGGUAGGAUGUCUGCUGCUAUGUGAACCGCCUUCGAAGAGUCGAGUUGUUUGGGAAUGCAGCUCUAAAUGGGAGGUAAAUUUCUUCUAAAGCUAAAUAUUGGCCAGAGACCGAUAGCGAACAAGUAGAGUGAUCGAAAGAUGAAAAGAACUUUGAAAAGAGAGUUAAACAGUACGUGAAAUUGUUGAAAGGGAAGCGCUUGAGAUCAGACUUCCUGUCUGGACUGUCCUUGCUUUUGCUUGGGUCAACAGUCCAGGCGUGGAGGCCAGCAUCAGUUUUGACGGCCGGAUAAAGGCCUUGGGAAGGUAGCUCCUUUCGGGGAGUGUUAUAGCCCAGGGUGUAAUACGGCCAGUUGGGACUGAGGACCGCGGCUUUGCCUAGGAUGCUGGCGUAAUGGUCUUAAGCGAC